rnacentral:lncRNA from 1 species
UCCGGAGCUGGGGACCGAACUCACUGAGCUAAAUCCCCAACCCCGAAAAAAUUUUCAAAUGAAAAGUGUAACACUGAAAAGCAAUCGUAAGCACGAAUAGGUCAGAGUGGUAGGCAUUUCUGUAAAAUAAAUGAUGUGCGAGAGAUGGCUCGACAGAGAAGCAGGACAAUGGUGCACAUCUGUUGUCCCAGAACUCUACAGCAAGACAAAGGCAGAGACAGAAAAACAGACCUAGACCUUACAGUGCAGUCAGCCUGGACUACAGAGCACACCAACAGAAACAAGAGGACCCUAGUCAUAACAAGAUGCAAAGUGAGAAUCACUCCUGAAAAGUGUUCUCUGAUAUUCACACAGACUGGGCUCAUGUGUUCCUGCCCUCAUACAUACAUGCAUGCAUAUAUACAUACAUGCAUGCAUGCAUAUACGAAGACACACAUAAUAAAUACAAAUGAAAAAGGAUUUAAGUGAUGCAUUUGAAAUGCUAGUGUA